rnacentral:misc_RNA from 1 species
GCAGAGUAGAAGACCUAUUCCAUUAUACACAAAUUUAGAAAGAUUAUGGCUGCCAAAAGUAGUAUACAAAGCAUUCAUGUUAUCAUUUCAGAUGGCAUCCUGAAAUAGGGGAAUCAACAUUAUGAAUGUAAAGAGAAGACCAUACAACAUAUUAACAUUGGCAUCAAAGAUUCAGGAACUAGGCUUAAAAGAUGGCCAAAUAGAGGUCAGUUAAUACCUAAACUCCUUCUCCAUAAGUUGUCUGCAUUUAGGUUAGAAUCAAACAAUGAUACAUUUGUACUGCAGAAACAAAAGGAGGACAACAAAGCUGGGAAGACUUUCCUCAGGAACUUAUUGAAUAUUUGAAUUAUGCAUACAUAAUUUCACACAGUUCAGAUAAAUCUGGAUGAGCUUUGUACUUUAAGGUUAUUU